rnacentral:rRNA from 1 species
GUCGAACGCUGGCGGCAGGCCUAACACAUGCAAGUCGAACGAGUGGCGGACGGGUGAGUAAUGUCUGGGAAACUGCCUGAUGGAGGGGGAUAACUACUGGAAACGGUCGCUAAUACCGCAUACCAUCAGAUGUGCCCAGAUGGGAUUAGCUUGUUGGGGGGGUAACGGCUCACCAAGGCGACGACCCCUCGCUGGUCUGAGAGGAUGACCAGCAAAACUGGAACGGGAACACGGUCCAGAUUCCUACGGGAGGAAGAAGUGGGGAUGAUUGCAAAAGGGGCGAAAGCCGGCUGAGGCCAUGCGGCGUGUAUGAAGAAGGCCUCCGGGUUGUAAAGUCCUUUAAUCGGGGAGGCGGUACCCGCAGAAGAAGCAACGGCUAACUCCGUGCCAGCAGCCGCGGUAAUUC